UAAUUGUUAUGCUUUUCGUGAAUGUUUAUCGUGAGUAAUUUAGUACAUUUUUUGUAAAUUCACCGGAAGUUUGCGGGGGUAUGCUAGUUCUGAACGUCACAUGCUAAUGUAAAAAGCUGGUUUUUGAUAUAAAUAUGAACUUGAUUGAACAAAACAUGCAUGUAUUGUAUAACAUAAUGUCCUAGGUGUGUCAUCUGAUGAAGAUCAUCAAAGGUUAGUGUUGCAUUUAGCUGUCUUCUGGGUUUUUGUGACAUUAUAUGCUAGCUUGAAAAAUGGGUGUCUGAUAAUUUCUGGCUGGGUACUCUGCUGACAUAAUCUAAUGUUUUGCUUUCGUUGUAAAGCCUUUUUGAAAUCGGACAGUGUGGUUAGAUUAACGAGAGUCUUGUCUUUAAAAUGGUGUAAAAUAGUCAUAUGUUUGAGAAAUUGAAGUAAUAGCAUUUCUAAGGUAUUUGAAUAGCGCGCCACAGGAUUCCACUGGCUGUUACGUAGGUGGGACGAUUUCGUCCCACUGGCCCUAGAGAAGUUAUGUCAGUAGUCUAGUGUGAGGGGUUAUGUCAGUAGUCUAGUGUAAAGGGUUAUGUCAGUAGUCUAGUAUGAGGGGUUAUGUAGUAGUCUAGUGUGAGGGGUUAUGUCAGUAGUCUAGUGUGAGGGGUUAUGUCAGUAGUCUAGUGUGAGGGGUUAUGUCAAGAGAAACAGUGUUGCAGUAGUCUAGUGUAAGGGGUUAUGUCAGUAGUCUAGUGUCAGUGGUUAUGUCAGUAGUCUAGUGUGAGGGAUUAUGUCAGGGGGAACCAGUGUUGCAGUAGUCUAGUGUGAGGGGUUACGUCAGUAGUCUAGUGUGAGGGGUUAUGUCAGUAGUCUAGUGUGAGGGGUUAUGUAGUUGUCUAGUGUGAGGGGUUAUGUCAGUAGUCUAGUGUGAGUGGUUAUGUCAGUAGUCUAGUGUGAGGGGUUUUGUCAUAGUCUAGUGUGAGGGGUUACGUCAGUAGUCUAGUGUGAGGGGUUAUGUAGUUGUCUAGUGUGAGGGGUUAUGUCAGUAGUCUAGUGUGAGUGGUUAUGUCAGUAGUCUAGUGUGAGGGGUAUGUCAGUAGUCUAGUGUGAGAUGUUAUGUCAGUAGUCUAGUGUGAGGGGUUAUGUCUGUAGUCUAGUGUGAGGGGUUAUGUCUGUAGUCUAGUGUGUGGUGCAGGAAUAAUGACAAGCCAACCUGGGGAUCUUUGUGUUCACAUUGCCAUAAAAAAGAGAAACCGGACGCGGAAUUUCAGCGAACCAAACUCAGACCACCUCAGUUUGGUUUGCUUCCGGGCUCUCUUGAGGGUUCUGAAUUCCUUUAGAGUGUUCACACUGUACAACUAUUAUACGAGUUCACAGAAACGAUCUGAAAGGGACCAAGUGCUUAAACACCCUUAUUUAUCUAAUGUGUUACAUUACACCUAAAAGACAACCAUAGUUGCUGCUGUGAUUCAGUGAGAUGUUGCUGCUGAGCUUUGACUGGGCUAGCCCUUGUUGGGCUGGUGUGAGCUUGCUUUGGUCUUGCUGUUGGCUGGACCAUGCUCACCUUGCCCACUGAAUACCCACGCAGGGCAAGUGUGG
rnacentral:lncRNA from 1 species